CAUGAAGCUGGAAUUGCUAGUAAUCGCGGAUCAGCAAGCCGCGGUGAAUACGUUCCCGGGCCUUGUACACACCGCCCGUCACACCAUGAGAGUCGGGAACACCCGAAGUCCGUAGUCUAACCGCAAGGGGGCGCGGCCGAAGGUGGGUCCGGUAAUUGGGGUGAAGUCGUAACAAGGUACC
rnacentral:rRNA from 1 species